GAUGAAGAACGCAGCGAAUUGCGAUAAGUAAUGUGAAUUGCAGAAUUCAGUGAAUCAUCGAAUCUUUGAACGCACAUUGCGCCCGCCAGUAUUCUGGCGGGCAUGCCUGUUCGAGCGUCAUUUCAACCCUCAAGCACAGCUUGGUGUUGGGACUCGCGUUAAUUCGCGUUCCCCAAAUUGAUUGGCGGUCACGUCGAGCUUCCAUAGCGUAGUAGUAAAACCCUCGUUACUGGUAAUCGUCGCGGCCACGCCGUUAAACCCCAACUUCUGAAUGUUGACCUCGGAUCAGGUAGGAAUACCCGCUGAACUUAAGCAUAUCAAUAAGCGGAGGA
rnacentral:misc_RNA from 1 species